GAUGAACGCUGGCGGCGUGCCUAAUACAUGCAAGUCGAGCGAACAGAUGAGGAGCUUGCUCCUCUGACGUUAGCGGCGGACGGGUGAGUAACACGUGGAUAACCUACCUAUAAGACUGGGGUAACUUCGGGAAACCGGAGCUAAUACCGGAUAAUAUAUUGAACCGCAUGGUUCAAUAGUGAAAGACGGUUUUGCUGUCACUUAUAGAUGGAUCCGCGCCGCAUUAGCUAGUUGGUAAGGUAACGGCUUACCAAGGCAACGAUGCGUAGCCGACCUGAGAGGGUGAUCGGCCACACUGGAACUGAGACACGGUCCAGACUCCUACGGGAGGCAGCAGUAGGGAAUCUUCCGCAAUGGGCGAAAGCCUGACGGAGCAACGCCGCGUGAGUGAUGAAGGUCUUCGGAUCGUAAAACUCCGUUAUUAGGGAAGAACAAAUGUGUAAGUAACUAUGCACGUCUUGACGGUACCUAAUCAGAAAGCCACGGCUAACUACGUG
rnacentral:rRNA from 1 species